rnacentral:lncRNA from 1 species
GGCGACGCCGCCGCGCCCUGCAAGCCGGGACUUGUAGUCCGCCUAGAAGAGGCGGGCAAACCCUCGGGGGCGGCCCAGCGACCCGCGCGCGUGCGCGACGUCUGAGGAAGCCGGCGGGGGAAGUUCAGUUUUGCUGGUCGCCGCUCUUGCCUCAGUUUUUCGCAGAGUAGGGGGUCUGCGCUGUGUUGCGCUGCGUGUGGAGUGAAUUCGGGGCCAUUUCUCCUGGGUUGGGGCGGUAGGUAACAGAGUAAUAUGAAGACGUGGGGCUUUUGUUUCCCUGCCGCUAUCUCCACGUUACCUACCCCUUUGGGGUGUUCUGGCGUUUGAGGAACUCACCGUUGGAGCUAGAGGCGCGCACCUCACUAAGGGGUUGUACUUCAUGAGAAAUUUAACCUAAUAUGCUGAAUUUCAACUUGGGAAGUCAGAAACCAAAAGCCUCUUCCCUGUAGACUGAGGAGAGACGUUCCCUGAAGAGAAACGGCCUGGCAAGAGGCAAUCUGUCGGGAAGCCUCAAAAUACUCGUUUACGAAGUCUCUGCUUGAACGCGAUGGGGGCAUCGUGCAGUUUCCCUUGAGGCAUAAUAACAGCUGCUUCCCUUUAAGGGGCCCCCACAUUGUCAGUGUCCUCCAGCCAGAGACCACCAAGAACACCCCUGUAGCUGAACAAAGUUGGGCGUCAGUCUCCUUGCAAGGGAGGAAGGCACACCUUGAGGAAGCGCGGGCCAUCUCAGGAAGAGGGUGCUGGAAAGAAUUUACAGGAUUUGGGCUGGUGUUAGGUGAUUUGGGGGAGGGUUCAAGGAAUCAGUCCUACUCUCUGCAUUGGAUGCUGUUAGUUGGAGAUGAGGAAAUUGUGUUUUCAUGGCAUUGAUUAGUCCAAAAUGAUACAGCCAGCAAAAACAGAGAACCUGGGGAUCCAAGUUCAGAGAAUCUGAUCCCGGUGGCUGCCACUUUACCACCUUCAAAAUCUGCAUCCCUAAGGAGGCUGCACUGCUUCCUCAGUAGUACUCAGCUGCUGAUACCUGUGCUUAGCUAAGUUUCUCACCAGCAGCGCUAUUGACAUUUUUGGUCAGGUAAUUUUUUGUUGUUGGGAGUUAUUCUGUGCAUUGUAGGGUGUUUAGUGGCAUCUCUGGCCUCUAUCCAUUAGAUGCUGGCGGCACCCUCCCCCUGUGACAACUAGUAAUGUCUCCAGACGUUACCAAAUCACCCCUGUUUGAGAGCCACUAGUGUAUACCAUUUAUCUCCUCCUGGGUCUCUCUCUGAGAGGUAACAAGUAUUUGGGGCAUGACAGUCCCCAAAUCACUUUGAGUGGGGAAGCCUUGAAAAGGAGAGAGGGAAACAGUUGUGGCCUAAGUUUUUGAAAAGCAUGUUAAACUAGGAAAACGAAGACUGAGACAAACAAAAGACAAGUGAAGUGGGGAAAAACAAAGGGAAAAAAAAAAAGUAAUAGAGGUGGAGAAGAGCUCGUAGGAAAUCACCCUUAAGUUACUCAGUUCACACUAACAAAGUUAGUUCACACUAACAAAGGCAUACAAAGCCUUUUUUUUUUUUUUACCAGAAACACUUUCUAGAACAUAUUUUUCUUAUUGAGAUCACAUUGGUUUAUAACAUAUAAAUUUCAGAUGCACAUCAUUAUAUUUCUACUUCUGUAUAGACUGCAUCAUGUUCACAACCAAAAGUCUAGUUGCUAUCUGUCUUUGUACACUGACACACAAAGUCUUAAUGAGGCCUCAUUUUACCUCCACUCCCUGUCUGAGAAGUGCUGAUAUGCGUAGCAAACAGUCUUGACCACUUUUGUAAAAAGAUUUGUUUUUUACAAAAUACACAGCUUGGUAUCAGCUGUGACCUCCCUGAACUGGCUACCUGCAAGAGACUUUCCUCAGAGAUUUCAGGCAUCCUCCAAGGUAGCAGUUUGUUUUCCACGGAAAUUCCAGGAUUCCAGGAGAGCUGGCAAAAGUCAAAAAGCAAUGGUAGCUAAGCUUUUCCAGGUUUUCCAAGAGAUAGGUCCUGCUUAAACUAAGCUAAUAAGAGCAUCAACACAAUUAAUCCCUUGUAUUUUUCUAACCUCUUUCAUCUAGAAAUCUCUGCAAAACAUCCAGACAUUUAUUAAUUUUCUUCUCAUAGUGAGGAAAAGCAUUGUGAUUUUCCUGUUUUAUAGAUCCAGAAGCCAAGUUAUGGAGUCUGCAAAAAAUAAUGAGAAAUGCAGAAACGGACUACUGGAAUCUUUACUCUGGGCCAUUCUUGAUGCUCAGUACCACCCCAGAUCUCCAGGUGCUCAAUAGUAAGCUAAUGAUGAUAAUCCUUCAAUUGUAUACUAAAUUUUAUGUUUUCAUAGGCUUUAAAAUAUUCCAUAGUCUCUUCACUUA